GCCGCAAGCACACGCAAACGCCUCCUCUACUCCUUUCUCUCCGCCUGAUCUGCGGCGGCUCCCUCCCAUGGUCCCCCGCCGCACCGAGGGGGCACGGCGCUGCAGAGAUGCGGGGCGACGUGCCGCCGCCUACCGCGCCCUUGGCUUCCUCCUCAUCUCCGGCCCCUCGAUCCUCUUCGCCGGCGGCGAGCUCUUCGGGUCGGGGCCCUCGCCGCUCGUCUUCCUGACCCUGUUCCUGAUCGAGGGCGGCGGCAUGGACCUCUCCCGCGUGGGCGAGAGGCUCCUCAGCUCCAUCCGCUCCGCCCGCUCCCUCAGUCUCCUCCCCCCGACCCCAGCCCCUUCUCGCGCCGAGGUACCGUGUUGCUCCCUCCCUGCCCGCCAUCCACCAUUCAUGCUGUGUUAAAUCCAGCGAUUGGGCAGGGUGCCCUUUUGCUCGGCACUGGCGACGAUGACGACAUACCAGAGUGGAAGUGGUUCGAUGACUUGGAUGACGAGGAGAGCUACGAGCGGUUCCUGCAGCGUGAGCGACGAGGAGUGACGGCGUGCGACUACACUGAGGUGUACGCCUCCAUUCUGCUAUGGUGAACUGGAUCAUCGAGAUUUACAGUCAUGACUUGGUGUUGUGCCGACUGUGCCAUCUCCUAGGUUGUCCGUCAAUUUAUGCGAUUCAGACAAUGUGACAAGGAGCCUCAAGAGUACAUCACUGGCGGUAUCCUUAAUGUUGAUAUACCCUAUACGCUUUAGCUUCUGUCACUUGAGUUAUAUUCCUAUGUUCGCUGUAAGUGUUGUGACUUUAUUUUAUAUGGUAAGUAGAGAAGUGCAGUCACGCCUUCUUAUAAUGCCUUGUUCUUUCAGAUGCGUGGAUGUCAAUGUCUACUAAAUCAGUCAAUCACCCAUUAAAGAAAGAUCAUAUGGUUUUUUUGCACCCUGAUUUUACCUUAGCUUAGAUUAUAUAACCAUCAACUUGGUCAAGAUUGUUCGUGUGUCAUCUUAUUUUCUGUUUCGACGGUCGAAUACCCACACGCCAUCAAAGUUAGUGUGUGAUGUGCCUACUUUUAUUAGAAAAGCAGAGAGGAUGUGAUUGUUUUAUUUUUCUAAAAUUGGUAAUGUGGCAAUUAGCAUGGCUUCUGCUAUGUUGAUUUAGAUCCUGCUUGGGUACUGGUUACCUUAAGUAAUACUCUCUCCGUCCAAAAAUAAGUAGUUGAGAUACAUUGCAGAGAGUAAACAGAGCAUGUGUAUAAAGGUUGGUUAGGUCAACUUUGUUAUUGAUUUACACGGAACUGAACUUGUUGAUAUGGCGAUAGGGUCUGCAGUGUGCAUGGUUAUUGACCCAUGCUCAGCUUUCACAACAUGCAGAGAAUUUUUAAUGCUCAUACACUGGCUUCUAAUAUGGUUCAUACGUUACUUUUUAUUUUCUUUCUGAAAACAUCUUACUCGACUUAUCACUGUGUCGUGCGCCUGUAGGUUCCAGCUCGAGCUGCUGCGGCAGCGGCAGUGGCAGCUAUACUAUUCCAUUUUUCAGUUUUAUGUAGAGACUGACCGGGUGAAUUCUGUAGUUCAUAGUGAAUGAAGUAGAUGUUUAUUCUUGUAUUAGAUCAAAUAUUCAUUAUAUUCUGGCUAAAUCAACUGGUAAAACAAGUUGGUUUCUGUAUUGUUUGCGACCAAUUAUUGAUUGGAUUUCCUGAGUGUGCAGUGGUUUCUUCUGUUUGCCCAUUGAAUCUGCUGACAAGAGCUGUGAUAAUUCUAAGUUGGAGGAAGUUAUGGAAGAGGCUACCAAGCUCGAGGAAGCUGCACUUGACGAAGAAUAGAAGCUUGCCAGUGCUGAGAAGCUCGAAUGCACCGAUACGGAUACGGGUAUCAGUAUCGGGCCAAUACGGAUACGUAAAUUCGUCAUUUUCAAAAAGUGCCAAUACGGAUACGUUGUAGGUAAUCAAAGCCAUCUGGAGGAGAUGAGAAUGAUAGAUCUUCAGAGAUCAGAGAAGAAAGAAGAGGAGAUGAGCUUAGCUGGGCAGGAGAAAUGGAGAAGAGAAGUGUCCAUACAUGGCUGUUGCGUGAGAGGGGACGUUGGUGGGUAGGAGGAGGAGCUCGUCGCCGGCUAGCCGCCACUGCUGCUGGCCCUGGGACCUAGGUGAGCAGCUGCUGGCGACACAGCUGCCACCUGGUGUGAGCAUGGGUGGGAGGAAAGACGCUGCGAGGGAAAGGAUGGGGGCAUUGGGGCACUAGGGUUGCUGGUUGCUUCUUAACUGGGCUGAGCGGGCUCUUACCUGGGCUGGAAAAGUAUCCAAAACGUACUGGCGAAGUAUCCUUAGAGUAUCGUCAUUGUCUUAAAUCAUUUAUUCUCGGAUACUCCAGCGAUACGUAUCGGGGGCGUAUCGGAGGAGUAUCGGUAUCGGAUACGGUAUCCGAUACGGAUUCGCUGGUCGGCUGAAGUAUCCGUGCAUUCGAGUUGAGAAGUAUGUUCCCAUGCUAGAAAUGGAGGAUUCACCUAUCUUAGGUGUCAUUUCGAAGGCCACAUCAGAACCAGCCAUCAAGAGCAUCGAAGGUGCCUCAACUGAAGAUGGUGAGAGCGGCAAAUGGUCACCGGUGUUGGAGAUAGAUGAUGAGAUCAAUAGUGCCAGUUUAGAUAAGGAAGUAGCUGUCGUUGAAGUGCCAAAGGAAGCCAUAAAUGAAGAUGCUUUCAGUUCCACCGCCCAACUGCUGUAACAGAGAAGGAAGUCUCUGGUGUUGAUUUGAAGGAAGAUGCUCUCAGUUUAACCGUUGAGGCUGCUGAUGCUGCUAACAAUAUAGCCCCAGCAGCUGUGACAGCGAAGGAAGUCAUUGAUGUUGAACGGGAGCCUGCCACAGCGGCCGACCUAUGAGGUAUGCUAUUUGGUACCAGCACUUCAUUCUGAACAUAAGGUUGUGUCUGUUGCUCAUAUUGUCUUCAAAUACAGGUGUGAAAAGGCAUUUUUCUAGAUCUACAGAUUAUGGUUCUCAAAUACAAUACAUUGAAUGAUAUUGUAGAUUUUGUGAGCUUGUUCUUUAUAAGAAAAUAAUUGAACCUUUUCAAUUGUCAUUAUGCCAUUGAUAUCGAAAUCUUGCAUGACUUUUUGUUGAUUGUUUAGUGACUAAGCUUAUGUUGAUUAAUGGGAUGAAUUUGAAUUGUA